GCAAACUUGGUCAUUUAGAGGAAGUAAAAGUCGUAACAAGGUUUCCGUAGGUGAACCUGCGGAAGGAUCAUUAUUGAAUAAACUUGAACAGGCUGUUGCUGGUCCCUUGUGGUAUGUGCACGCCUGUCUCAUCUUUGUUAUUUCUCCAACUUGUGCACCUUUUGUAGACUCUGGAGCUUUGUGGAUUUUCUGAAAAUCCGAGUCCGGGACUGCUGUGCUUUGUUAUGAAGUCGGCUUUGCCUUGCAUCUCCAGGUCUAUGUCAUUUUUCACAACCUCUUUAAACAUGUUAAGAAUGUCGGAUAAAAAAAAUGAAAUAUACAACUUUCAGCAACGGAUCUCUUGGCUCUCGCAUCGAUGAAGAACGCAGC
rnacentral:misc_RNA from 1 species